GGAUGUUGCUCAACAGUGGUGGAGCAUUUGCUCUGCAUGCAGAAGAUCCUAGAUUCAAUUUCUGGCAUCUGCA